rnacentral:rRNA from 1 species
UACGAAGGGAGCUAGCGUUGUUCGGAAUCACUGGGCGUAAAGCGCACGUAGGCGGAUGUGUCAGUCAGGGGUGAAAUCCCGGAGCUCAACUUCGGAACUGCCUUUGAUACAGCACGUCUUGAGUCCGAUAGAGGUGGGUGGAAUUCCUAGUGUAGAGGUGAAAUUCGUAGAUAUUAGGAAGAACACCGGUGGCGAAGGCGGCCCACUGGAUCGGUACUGACGCUGAGGUGCGAAAGCGUGGGGAGCAA